rnacentral:rRNA from 1 species
UACGUAGGUGGCAAGCGUUGUCCGGAUUUACUGGGCGUAAAGCGUGCGCAGGCGGACUUUUAAGUAGGAAGUGAAAGGUUGGAGCUCAACUCCAACACUGCUCCCUAUACUGGAAGUCUUGAGUAGCGGAGAGGAAGAUGGAACGACACGUGUAGCGGUGAAAUGCGUUGAUAUGUGUCGGAACACCAAUGGCGAAGGCAGUCUUCUGGACGCAAACUGACGCUCAUGCACGAAAGCUAAGGUAGCAAACAGG